UGGGGAAUUUUGCGCAAUGGGCGAAAGCCUGACGCAGUAACGCCGCGUGGAGGAUGAAGGCCUUCGGGUUGUAAACUCCUGUCAGAGGGAACGACGGUAGUAGGGUGAAUAGCUCUACUUUCUAGACGGUACCCUCAAAGGAAGCCCCGGCUAAUUCCGUGCCAGCAGCCGCGGUAAUACGGAAGGGGCAAGCGUUGUUCGGAAUCAUUGGGCGUAAAGGGCGCGUAGGUGGUCCUAUGUGUCUACUGUGAAAGCACACGGCUCAACCGUGUCGGGUCGGUAGAAACUGUAGGACUUGAGGCUGGGAGGGGCUGGUGGAAUUCCCUGUGUAGCGGUGAAAUGCGUAGAGAUGGGGGAGAACACUCGUGGCGAAGGCGGCCAGCUGGACCAGUCCUGACACUGAGGCGCGACAGCAUGGGGAGCAAACAGG
rnacentral:rRNA from 1 species